GUCCCCAUCGUCUAGAGGCCAAGGACACCGCCCUUUCACGGCGGUAACCCGGGUUCGAAUCCCGGUGGGGACG
rfam:Deltaproteobacteria bacterium GWC2_42_11 gwc2_scaffold_1136, whole genome shotgun sequence.